rnacentral:rRNA from 1 species
AAUGAACGUUGGCGGCGUGGAUUAGGCAUGCAAGUCGAGCGAGAAACUUUUAAAAGAUACUUCGGUUGAUUUUAAAAGCGGACAGCGGCGAAAGGGAGAGUAACGAGUAGAUUACGUACCCGAGGGUCUGGGAUAGCUGCGGGAAACUGCAGGUAAUACCGGAUAAUAUUUCCGAAUCAAAGAUUUAUCGCCCUCGGAGCGGUCUGCUUACUAUUAGCUAGUUGGUGGGGUAAAGGCCUACCAAGGCUGAGAUGGUUAGCGGGUGUGAGAGCAUGGCCCGUCUCACUGGGACUGAGACACUGCCCAGACACCUACGGGUGGCUGCAGUCGAGAAUCUUCCGCAAUGGGCGAAAGCCUGACGAAGCGACGCCGCGUGCGGGAUGAAGGCCUUCGGGUUGUAAACCGCUGUCAGUAGGGAGGAAAUUUUGACCGAUCUACAGAGGAAGCACAGGCUAAGUUCG